rnacentral:rRNA from 1 species
AUUGAACGCUGGCGGCAUGCCUUACACAUGCAAGUCGAACGGUAACGCGGGGCAACCUGGCGACGAGUGGCGAACGGGUGAGUAAUGCAUCGGAACGUGCCCAGUAGUGGGGGAUAGCCCGGCGAAAGCCGGAUUAAUACCGCAUGAGACCUGAGGGUGAAAGCGGGGGAUCGCAAGACCUCGCGCUAUUGGAGCGGCCGAUAUCAGAUUAGCUAGUUGGUGGGGUAAAGGCCUACCAAGGCAACGAUCUGUAGUUGGUCUGAGAGGACGACCAGCCACACUGGGACUGAGACACGGCCCAGACUCCUACGGGAGGCAGCAGUGGGGAAUUUUGGACAAUGGGCGCAAGCCUGAUCCAGCAAUGCCGCGUGCAGGAAGAAGG